rnacentral:RNase_P_RNA from 1 species
AAGGCAGUCUGAUCUAUCGACUCACGCAAGUGAGUAGGAAAGUCCGGGCAACACAGGGCGUCGCACUUCCUAACUGGAAGGGAUUUUGGGCAACCAAAGUUACAGAAAGUGUCACAGAAACUAAACCGCCUCUUCGGGGGUAAGGGUGAAAAAGUGGGGUAAGAGCCCACUCGUUUUGAUGUGAAUCAAAAUUGGGAUAAACCUUGCGAGUUGAAAGACCAAAUAAACCUGGAUCAAAGGGCGGCUCGCCCAAUUAUCUUCGGAUAAGCCAGAAGGGUAGGUCGAUUGAGGUAUACUGCGAAGUAUAUCCUAGAUAAAUGAUAGAUACCACGGCAAAAACUGUGGGCACAGAACCCGGCUUAUAGGGCUGCCUUUUUU